UUACACAUGCAAGUCGAACGAUGAUGCCAGCUUGCUGGCGGAUUAGUGGCGAACGGGUGAGUAACACGUGAGUAACCUGCCCUUAACUCUGGGAUAAGCCUGGGAAACUGGGUCUAAUACCGGAUAUUACUCCUCAUCGCAUGGUGGGGGGUGGAAAGCUUUAUUGUGGUUUUGGAUGGACUCGCGGCCUAUCAGCUUGUUGGUGAGGUAAUGGCUCACCAAGGCGACGACGGGUAGCCGGCCUGAGAGGGUGACCGGCCACACUGGGACUGAGACACGGCCCAGACUCCUACGGGAGGCAGCAGUGGGGAAUAUUGCACAAUGGGCGAAAGCCUGAUGCAGCGACGCCGCGUGAGGGAUGACGGCCUUCGGGUUGUAAACCUCUUUCAGUAGGGAAGAAGCGAAAGUGACGGUACCUGCAGAAGAAGCGCCGGCUAACUACGUGCCAGCAGCCGCGGUAAUACGUAGGGCGCAAGCGUUAUCCGGAAUUAUUGGGCGUAAAGAGCUCGUAGGCGGUUUGUCGCGUCUGCCGUGAAAGUCCGGGGCUCAACUCCGGAUCUGCGGUGGGUACGGGCAGACUAGAGUGAUGUAGGGGAGACUGGAAUUCCUGGUGUAGCGGUGAAAUGCGCAGAUAUCAGGAGGAACACCGAUGGCGAAGGCAGGUCUCUGGGCAUUAACUGACGCUGAGGAGCGAAAGCAUGGGGAGCGAACAGGAUUAGAUACCCCUGGGUAGUCCAUGCCGUAAACGUUGGGCACU
rnacentral:rRNA from 1 species